GAUGAACGCUAGCGGCAGGCCUAACACAUGCAAGUCGAACGGUAAGGUCUCUUCGGAGAUACACGAGUGGCGCACGGGUGAGUAACGCGUAUGCAACCUACCCUUAACUGGGGGAUAGCCCGGAGAAAUUCGGAUUAAUACCCCAUAACAUCCCGACAACACCUGUUGACGGGAUAAAAACUCCGGUGGUUAAGGAUGGGCAUGCGUGACAUUAGUUAGUUGGUAAGGUAACGGCUUACCAAGGCUACGAUGUCUAGGGGGCCUGAGAGGGUGAUCCCCCACACUGGUACUGAGACACGGACCAGACUCCUACGGGAGGCAGCAGUGAGGAAUAUUGCGCAAUGGACGAAAGUCUGACGCAGCCAUGCCGCGUGCAGGAUGACUGCCCUAUGGGUUGUAAACUGCUUUUUUAUAGGAAGAAUACCCCCUACGUGUAGGGGAUUGACGGUACUAUAUGAAUAAGCAUCGGCUAACUCCGUGCCAGCAGCCGCGGUAAUACGGAGGAUGCAAGCGUUAUCCGGAUUUAUUGGGUUUAAAGGGUGCGUAGGCGGGAGAAUAAGUCAGUGGUGAAAUUUUGCAGCUUAACUGUAACAUUGCCAUUGAUACUGUUUUUCUUGAGUGCGAUUGAGGUAGGCGGAAUGUGUAAUGUAGCGGUGAAAUGCUUAGAUAUUACACAGAACACCGAUUGCGUAGGCAGCUUACUAAGUCGUAACUGACGCUGAGGCACGAAAGCGUGGGGAUCGAACAGGAUUAGAUACCCUGGUAGUCCACGCUGUAAACGAUGAUCACUAGCUGUUGGCGAUAGACCGAUCAGCGGCAAAGCGAAAGCAUUAAGUGAUCCACCUGGGGAGUACGUUCGCAAGAAUG
rnacentral:rRNA from 1 species